AUUGAACGCUGGCGGUAUGCUUUACACAUGCAAGUCGAACGGUAGAGGGGCAACCCUUGAGAGUGGCGAACGGGUGAGUAAUACAUCGGAACGUGCCCAGUCGUGGGGGAUAACGUAGCGAAAGCUACGCUAAUACCGCAUACGACCUGAGGGUGAAAGCGGGGGACCUGCAAGGGCCUCGCGCGAUUGGAGCGGCCGAUGGCAGAUUAGGUAGUUGGUGAGGUAAAGGCUCACCAAGCCGACGUUCUGUAGCUGGUCUGAGAGGACGACCAGCCACACUGGGACUGAGACACGGCCCAGACUCCUACGGGAGGCAGCAGUGGGGAAUUUUGGACAAUGGGCGCAAGCCUGAUCCAGCCAUACCGCGUGCAGGAAGAAGGCCUUCGGGUUGUAAACUGCUUUUGUCAGGGAAGAAAUCUUCUGGGCUAAUACCCUGGGAGGAUGACGGUACCUGAAGAAUAAGCACCGGCUAACUACGUGCCAGCCGCCGCCGUAACAC
rnacentral:rRNA from 1 species